rnacentral:rRNA from 1 species
UACGUAGGGUGCAAGCGUUGUCCGGAAUUAUUGGGCGUAAAGAGCUCGUAGGCGGUCUGUCGCGUCGGCUGUGAAAACCCGGGGCUCAACCCCGGGCCUGCAGUCGAUACGGGCAGACUAGAGUGCGGUAGGGGAGACUGGAAUUCCUGGUGUAGCGGUGAAAUGCGCAGAUAUCAGGAGGAACACCGGUGGCGAAGGCGGGUCUCUGGGCCGUAACUGACGCUGAUGCACGAAAGCUGGGGGAGCAAACGGGG